rnacentral:snRNA from 1 species
GUGCUUGCUUUGCAGCACAUUUACUAAAAUUAGAGUGAUACAGAGAGGAUUAGCAUGGCUCCUGUGCAAGGAUGGCAAGUAAACUCAUGAAGCGGUCCAUAAAGAA